rnacentral:tRNA from 1 species
GCUUCUGUGGCAUAAUGGAUGAGGCUUUGGCCUCCGGAGCCAAUGACUGUGGAUUCAAGUCACACCAGGGGCG